UCCUUCUUAUCCUCUUUGUUUUCAUUCCUUCUUCUUCAUUUAGGCCGAGAGACAUCUUUGAAAAAAAAAAUUUGUCGGCGAGCUUUUUUGGUGAAUCAACACUCCUAUUCUCUUCCUCUCAUUCUCCUCAGCUUGGUGGCGAGGCUUCUUACAAGGAGAAAGAAACUGCAGACAAGUGAGCGUGUCUCAAGGAGAGACAACUGGUUCUGAAAGAUUUGCAUUGUGGCAUUUGGAUUUUGAUGGUGACAUCGGACUUCAGUUCGACACUGUAGUGUGGGGUUCCACGGUCUGGUCUAAUGGGAGGCGGCGUGGUCAACCCUGAGUUUACCCUGGUCAAGAGGUGCGCGGAGCCAUUGACAGGAGGUUCUUAUAUGUGAGAAACCCGGGGUCACCACAUAGAGAUCUCAGUGGCUAACACCAAGGAAGACAUCAUUUUUGAAUUUUAAAAGUCUUAAAAACACCUUCGUGGUCCCGUAGCUAGUUGCGACCGCGAUUAGCUUGGGAAUUGUUUGAAGCCAACCUGUAUUUUGAGCGGUGCUCAAUAUGUUGGAAAAUGCUACUUACAUGUACUAUUUAUAAAUCAUUUUGAUCUCUGUUAAUCUGUUGAAUACUUGGAACUUCUUUUAUAUGUUACUAUUAUUGUGGUAAUUACUAUUGGAAAUGUUGUACUACUCACUUAUAUCUAUGUUGGCACCACUCACUUUGCAACACAUAUUACUCACCAC